CUUAAUUUUGGGAAGUCUAUCUUGCAUUCUCGAGCUAAUGUUGUUUAUCUAUACUUGCUGAUCUCAGGGGAACGACAUUUUCCCUUUGGGCAUAUGUAACGAAUGAGAAACUGUAACUAGGUCUAAUUAUUCAAAGAAUACAGUACAACCCCCGAUCUGUACGAGCAACUUGGCAAAGGGGACAUAUCAAGACUGAGGGUAAACAAACGGCGCGUAGAAGGAGAAAAAUCACUUUGACUAAAAACACUGAAAAGCCACAAUUUAUAUCUGCAAUUAAUACGAGUCCUCAUUAACCGGGAACAAUCAUUGCAAUGUGAGAGUUACUGCAUUGAGGGCAAAGAGUGAGGUUUCUCAUUGGAUCGCAACUUCUAUUUUACAAAAGUUCAACAGCAGGCAGUUCAAUAUAACAAGGUUUAUAUCAAUCGGGCAGAAUUCAACAUCUAUAGGGAGAAACGGACAAAGCAACCCACGAGAGACGUACAGCACUGAGGAAACGAGGGCCUACAUGGCAAUGAAUAGGCGCGGAAACAAUGAUCUUUAAAAGAGAGCGAUGUUUGAUCUCAAACGGAAAUUAUCAGAUUAUGAUCACAUAGAGCUCGCAAAAUUGGAUAAAUAAAUCGUAUGAGUACUCUAAAUAAUUUUCACAUGGAUUUCUUUAUAAGGUUAUAGCCACUGCUUUAUCACGUAACAGGCGGAUAACCAUUGUUAUUUUAAUGCAUUAGGAAAUAAAGUCUAUUGUGUACUAAAAUGGAUAUAGCUUUUGGGAAGUAACUUGUAAGUCCUCGGAUGAUAUCGUCAAAUACGCACAAUGUGACAAAUAAUUAUACGGGAAACGAAACAUAAACUAUCCUUGUAUCACAAUAAUUAUCAUGAUUUACUGCCGGGUAUGAAAAUGGUGAUCAUAUUAUGACAAUGGAUGCACUACGUAACACUGAAAUGAAUCUCUCAUCGACUACGACAACACUGUCAUUAAACACAACUUCUAGCGCUUAUGUGCCUUACGUGCUUGAGUGGUCGUCAGAAGUCAUAUAUAGAGUGGUGACUCUAAUCAUUGUGAUGGCCGCGACUGUCGUUGGGAAUAUAACGCUUAUAGUACUCUUAAUGAAGAAUCCCAAGCACAGACGGAAAAGAGUGAAUGUCUUUUUGGUUAACUUAGCCAUCGGAGAUUUAAUGGUGUGUAUAGUGACGAUGACAACAGAAGUAUUCUUCAUAGCGUUUGGUGAGUGGGUCCUUGGAGCUGUUGCCUGUAAGCUAUUGCUUUAUGGCCAAAUUAUGACCCUAGCAAGCGCGACUUUCCUUCUAGUAGGAAUGAGCAUUGACCGAUAUCAAGUGAUAGUCAAACCCCUCCAGUCAUUAGCAAAUAACCCAUGGAUUUGGCGCAAGGUGGCCGUCGCCUGGGUAAUGGCUCUUGUGUUCGCCUCUCCACAACUGCUUAUUUUUGUUCAAACAGACGAGGGAAUGCACCCCGAUGGUAACAUUAUCCACAAAUGUAAAAGUCAAGGGUAUACAGCCAUGUGGCAGAGGAAAUUAUAUUUCACCUUCCUCACCACGUAUAUUCUUAUCAUCCCCAGCAUUAUCAUGACUUACUGCUAUGUGAACAUCAUAAGGGUGGUGUGGUCUCGCAACAAAGGAGAUGCCAUUCUCAGGAAUAACUCAACGAAGUCGAUAUCAAAUGACGUUGCCCCUAAUCUCAAUCUUAACCGAAAACUUGUAUCUAACUCCAAAGUGAAAGCCGUGAAAAUGACAUUGACCGUCAUCGUUGCAUUUGUGGCGUGUUGGGCCCCUUACCUGUUCGUAACGCUAGUGAGGAUUUACUCAAACUACAAAAUAAAACUAAAAAUGGGGCAAGUGGUGGCGGAGACAUUGACGCUAAUCCAUAGUGCACUGAACCCUAUCCUCUAUGGCUUGUUUAACUCUAAGUGUUCUUUCACCCAUUGUUGCCCAUGUCUCACUUGGUCAGGCAAUACGGAAAGGAAAGGCGACAUCAGACACCACCGUGAGACUAUCCCGACCACUGAAUGUCUUGGUAAUAAUAAGAACACCCCCAGACGACAUCGUGCAAACAAAUGGCUACCUGGAUGGUUCAGUAGUCGAUGUUGUCGGUGCAGCAAAUCAAAACACUUAGCAGAAUGUGAUAAGACACAAUUGUGCGAAACACUCAUCAAGCGCAAUGGUCACAAUAACGGCAAAGACGACCUUCGAGAGGAUGUCGUAAAACUAGUCAAACAGAAAAAUGAAAAGAGUCAUAAAAUGUGCCUAGAUAAGACUAUUAAUUGCAAAGAACGAGAGCAAAUGGAUUAUUGCAUCUCUACAGUGUGAUGUUUUUACUCCAAUGAUGUAUUAAUCAAGGUCGGAUAAGCAGGAUAAAUACGGAUCCAUCAAUCAGGCAUUUAUACCCAGGUCUCUACAGAAAAUAUCGUGACUUUGAUAUAUUCAUUCCUGAUCUAAUAAACACCAUUACUUAUCCCGGUUGGAAAUAUUCCAUUCUUGUAUAAAAGGACAGAUUUGUAACUUUUCUUUUGAUGGAUUUGUAUUCCAUUAACUUUGUAAUUUACACUAUUACUUUUUAACUAUCAUUAAUAUGUCAUUAUGUCUGUAUUUAUUUAUUAGUUAGACUAUGUUUCAUUUAACGAUGCAAAUCGAUAGGAAGAGCACGAUAAACGUAAAGACUAGCAAUAAUACUAUUUAAAGACAGCCAACUGACGUAAAAAUAAAUAAAAUACGUCCCCAGUCAAUCCAUGCUUCCGUUACUAAGCUCUUAAAGAGCUAGCGGAUUCGGAGUAAUUAAUAUUGUCAAAUUUUACUUGCUGUAAAACCUGAUGUGAAUGUACAUUUUAUUGGAUAGUGUGAUAAUAAAUGGUGAAUUUUUACACAAUGAAAACAUAAAAA
rnacentral:misc_RNA from 1 species